UGGAGAGGAAACAGACAAGUAAAAGGUAGCUCUGGAACAGACAUUUGCGAUAUCACAGUAGGGGUGAGGCAGAGCAUUACGAAUGCUAUGGAACAUCCCCUCAGAUUGGGAAGUGUGGAGGGCUGACUCUCAGAAAGAGUGGGAUUUAUGUUGAGAACUGAAGAAUGAGUAGGAAAGUUCACUGGGGCAAGAGAAGCUGAACACAAGGUCUAAAGAAACAAAGGAGGAAUGGAAGGAGAAUAUUAUAUGGACUUUUUCGUUGACCUACUUUUUAAGGAAUGUGGAGGAGUGGAAAAUGGAGGUUGUUGAUUCUGCCUUAUGGAUGAAAUAUAGAAAACGUGAGGAAACUGAAGUUCAGAGAGGUGAUUUCCCCAAAUUAUAUACAGUUGUACGGGGCAGAGGAGAAGAAAAGAGUUGAAGAAGGAGCCUUAAAAAAAUGGCUAAAACAUCCACUGGACAAGACUGAAUUCUACUACCUAGUCAGACUGUUUUCAAGAGAUGUGCCAAAAGGUAACAUAGGGAAUAAGAUAAAAAAGCUAGCCUGUUUUUUUCUUGAGCUGGAGAGAAUACCCUUUAAGCAAAUAGUUGACAAGCAAUUAUCUCACAUAUUUUUUUAAAGACCUUGAGGCGUGGACCUUUCUUGGAUAUCAUUUUCUUUUUUUAAAUUCAGUUUUAUUUUAGCAGCAUUUUU